UACGUAGGGUGCAAGCGUUAAUCGGAAUUACUGGGCGUAAAGCGUGCGCAGGCGGUUUUGUAAGUCUGUCGUGAAAGCCCCGGGCUCAACCUGGGAAUUGCGAUGGAGACUGCAAGGCUUGAAUCUGGCAGAGGGGGGUGGAAUUCCACGUGUAGCAGUGAAAUGCGUAGAGAUGUGGAGGAACACCGAUGGCGAAGGCAGCCCCCUGGGCCAACACUGACGCUCAGGCACGAAAGCGUGGGGAGCAAACAGG
rnacentral:rRNA from 1 species